GGAGAGGUGGCCGAGCCCGGUUGAAGGCGACGGUCUCGAAAACCGUUAUAGGGGCAACCCUAUCGUGGGUUCGAAUCCCACCCUCUCCG
rnacentral:tRNA from 1 species